UUACACAAAUAUGAAGGCGGGCUGGAACCUCUCGGGGUUACAGCCUUGCUGAAUUAUUCACCCUUGUCUUUUGCGUACUUCUUGUUUCCUUGGUGGGUUCGCCCACCACUAGGACAAACAUAAACCUUUUGUAAUUGCAAUCAGCGUCAGUAACAAAUUAAUAAUUACAACUUUCAACAACGGAUCUCUUGGUUCUGGCAUCGAUGAAGAACGCAGCGAAAUGCGAUAAGUAGUGUGAAUUGCAGAAUUCAGUGAAUCAUCGAAUCUUUGAACGCACAUUGCGCCCUUUGGUAUUCCAAAGGGCAUGCCUGUUCGAGCGUCAUUUGUACCCUCAAGCUUUGCUUGGUGUUGGGCGUCUUGUCUCUAGCUUUGCUGGAGACUCGCCUUAAAGUAAUUGGCAGCCGGCCUACUGGUUUCGGAGCGCAGCACAAGUCGCACUCUCUAUCAGCAAAGGUCUAGCAUCCAUUAAGCCUUUUUUUCAACUUUUGACCUCGGAUCAGGUAGGGAUAC
rnacentral:rRNA from 1 species